UCGAACGGCAGCACGGGUGCUUGCACCUGGUGGCGAGUGGCGAACGGGUGAGUAAUACAUCGGAACAUGUCCUGUAGUGGGGGAUAGCCCGGCGAAAGCCGGAUUAAUACCGCAUACGAUCUACGGAUGAAAGCGGGGGACCUUCGGGCCUCGCGCUAUAGGGUUGGCCGAUGGCUGAUUAGCUAGUUGGUGGGGUAAAGGCCUACCAAGGCGACGAUCAGUAGCUGGCCUGAGAGGACGACCAGCCACACUGGGACUGAGACACGGCCCAGACUCCUACGGGAGGCAGCAGUGGGGAAUUUUGGACAAUGGGCGAAAGCCUGAUCCAGCAAUGCCGCGUGUGUGAAGAAGGCCUUCGGGUUGUAAAGCACUUUUGUCCGGAAAGAAAUCCUUGGUUCUAAUAUAGCCGGGGGAUGACGGUACCGGAAGAAUAAGCACCGGCUAACUACGUGCCAGCAGCCGCGGUAAUACGUAGGGUGCGAGCGUUAAUCGGAAUUACUGGGCGUAAAGCGUGCGCAGGCGGUUUGCUAAGACCGAUGUGAAAUCCCCGGGCUCAACCUGGGAACUGCAUUGGUGACUGGCAGGCUAGAGUAUGGCAGAGGGGGGUAGAAUUCCACGUGUAGCAGUGGAAUGCGUAGAGAUGUGGAGGAAUACCGAUGGCGAAGGCAGCCCCCUGGGCCAAUACUGACGCUCAUGCACGAA
rnacentral:rRNA from 1 species